rnacentral:lncRNA from 1 species
GUAAUUUUAUUGCCCAUUCUGUUCUGUUGCAGUUUUCUAAUCUGCAUUGUGUCUGAAGGAAAUGAGAAGUAGAAUUUCUCCUUCCUCCAAAGUCCUGUUAAUUUUAAUCCUUUUGCUGGAUUCAUGCUGCAGCCAGGGCAUUAAACCUGAAACAAGGUGGAUCCAAAUGGAAAAAAAUGUAGAUGAUUACUGGCCAUCUGCCAAAAAGACGCUUGGGGACGUAAAAAUUCUGGAAUCACUGAAGGUUCAUUUUGAUCAAAUAUUCAUAUUCUGAGCCAUGUGUCAACAAUUUUACUGUUUAAAGACAAGAAGGUUGUGGAGGGGAAUACUGACACCAUCCUUCACAGGGGAGUUUACUUUCAGACUUCUUAUAUAAACGAGAAUAUGCUGUUAAAGAGGAAUGGAGUGAACAUUAAGAUGUGUUCAAAUGAAGGUGCAAAAGCACUGGGAACAUGAGUUGCUUCCCUUGGGGAAAGGGAGUGGGUGGGGAACAGAAAGGUCAUAGCAAUGCACUCAGCUUUUAAGUCAAGAUUAACCAUAUGCAUGAACAUUUGGAAAAUGCUUCAUGUAUUUUCAUUUCCACAGGUUCAUUGUACUAAUACCAUUAGACAGAACUAGAUUUUUAACUGAGGGAGCUGCAGUCCUUCAUUAAUAGGCUCACAUGUCUAGGCGGAGUCCUAGACUCGGAGGCCUGAAUGGAUAGACCAGCCAACACUUUCUCAUUGCAUCCAUUCUGUGAUACUUUUCUGUGCUACUGAAAGGCAGCUCUUCCUUGGAGAAAUUGCCUUCUCCAUCAUGUUUGGUCCACUUAUUGCAGAAUAGCUUAACAAGAUCUUUCUGCGAUCAGCAACAAGUUUUUUCCAGCAGAAUAUUUUUCUAUUCCUGAGCAUUUCACAAACCACCUCUGAUUUUCUCAAGCAGAUUUGAUAAGCUAUGUUAUUCAAAUAUGCAUCAACUCAUGGGCCGUGCAAAAUGUUCUUGUGUGAUUUGUCUUCAUUACUGCUCCAGUCUGACUGCACAUCUUGGUCACGUGAACCACACAUGACAGACUGCUUUUCCUGGUAAGCUGAGCCUAAAUGUGAUAAACCAGGGAAGCUCAGUAAACAAAUGAAAUGGUUAUGAGGGCCAUUCUGCCUCUGGAAGAUAGAUUCGUGCUCCACCUAUUCUAGCCUUGCUUCCUUAUCUCUUGCAUUUCCUCAACAUACAUGCUAUGAAUAUAAAAAUGUGAAACAAUUAAUUAAAACUAGCUAUAUAGAUGAAGGAAUUCCUACUGC